rnacentral:rRNA from 1 species
UACAGAGGGUGCAAGCGUUAAUCGGAAUUAUUGGGCGUAAAGCGCACGUAGGCGGAUUGGAAAGUUGGAUGUGAAAUCCCUGGGCUUAACCUGGGAAUUGCAUUCAAAACUCCCAGUCUAGAGUAUUGGAGAGGAGAGUGGAAUUUCCGGUGUAGCAGUGAAAUGCGUAGAUAUCGGAAGGAACAUCAGUGGCGAAGGCGACUCUCUGGCCAAAUACUGACGCUGAGGUGCGAAAGCGUGGGGAGCAAACAGG